rnacentral:misc_RNA from 1 species
ACUACAACACGGCACAAGG